CGCUGAAUCGGACGCGCACUGGCGGUAGCGAUUCAGGGACACCUCUACUACGGGAUAGAUGCUGAGACAGAGGAAUGGGUGGCGAAGUGAGCGCCCUUGCAUCGAACGGCUGACGGGU
rnacentral:sRNA from 12 species